UUAAAUGGCCGCAGUAUUUUGACUGUGCAAAGGUAGCAUAAUCAUUAGUUUCUUAAUUAGAAGCUGGAAUGAAAGGUUAAACGAAAAAAUAACUGUCUCUUUAUAAAUUUAUUUGAAUUUUAUAUUUAAGUUAAAAAGCUUAGAUAAUUUUAAAAGACGAGAAGACCCUAUAGAGUUUUAUAUAAUAAUUUAUAAUAAUUUAUUUUUAAUUAUAAAAAUUUUAUUAAUAGUUAUAUUUAGUUGGGGUGAUUAAAAAAUUUAAUAAACUUUUUUUUUAUAAAACAUUUAUUUAUGAUUAAUUGAUCCAUUAUUAAUGAUUAAAAGAUUAAAUUACCUUAGGGAUAACAGCGUAAUUUCUUUUUAGAGUUCUAAUCGAUAAAGAAGUUUGCGACCUCGAUGUUGGAUUAAAAUAAAGUUUUGGUGUAGAAGCUAAAAUUUUAGGUCUGUUCGACCUUUAAAAUUUUACAUGAUCUGAGUUUAAACCGGUGUAAGCCAGGUUGGUUUCUAUCUUUAAAUAAUUAAAAUAUUUUAGUACGAAAGGACCAAAUAUUUAAAAUGUUUUUUAAAUAUUGAAUAAUAGUAAUUA
rnacentral:rRNA from 1 species